CCCACCGGGCCCGCGCGCGCGGCUCUGGGACGUGCUCCUUCGCUUAUGCGUGUUCGCCCCGCGCUUGCCUAGGAGCGCCGAGCCUGCGAGCCGGGUGGCCCAGAGCGCGGACCCGCUCCCUGUACCCCGCGCGGGGCAGUCUGCGGCCCUUCCUGCCCCUCAGAGUCACCCCGAGCUGGCUGAGCUGUGGAGCAGGUGUCUCCUGCAAAGACGAGCGGGGGUGGUUGAAGCUGCUCUCAAGUGCACAUCUGGGAACUCUUGGAAGAGUUGGGAAUGAUCCCUGAAGAAUGAUGCUUGGGCAACUGAGCAAAAGAAAGCUGAGAGCAUCAGAAUGAGUGGCAGGUUCUGGAAGUGGAAAAGAAAAAAACAACGUUUGGGAAAAGAAAAUGUGGAAAAUGUCAAGGAAGAGGCUUGAUGCAGAGCAGCAGGGCAAUCUUGGAAGCUUCAUGUUGAAGAUGGUGGAGCCACAAGUUAGAAGGAGUCUGGGUUGGAGGAGAGCUAUAUGCUGAUCAGGAACAUCCAUUUUAGACUUGAUCUGAGUGAAAAAUAAACAUGUAUUGUGAUGUUAAAGCAAUUAUAUAUUUUUGAAAUUGUUUGUUUUCUUAAUUAAAAUGCCCACUGAUCUGUAUUUAUUGUCAUUAUGAUGAAAAUCCUUAAAGUUGGUGA